UAGGGAAUCUUCGGCAAUGGGGGCAACCCUGACCGAGCAACGCCGCGUGAGUGAAGAAGGUUUUCGGAUCGUAAAGCUCUGUUGUAAGAGAAGAACGUGUGUGAGAGUGGAAAGUUCACACAGUGACGGUAACUUACCAGAAAGGGACGGCUAACUACGUGCCAGCAGCCGCGGUAAUACGUAGGUCCCGAGCGUUGCCCGGAUUUAUUGGGCGUAAAGCGAGCGCAGGCGGUUUAAUAAGUCUGAAGUUAAAGGCAGUGGCUUAACAAUUGUUCGCUUUGGAAACUGUUAAACUUGAGUGCAGAAGGGGAGAGUGGAAUUCCAUGUGUAGCGGUGAAAUGCGUAGAUAUAUGGAGGAACACCGGUGGCGAAAGCGGCUCUCUGGUCUGUAACUGACGCUGAGGCUCGAAAGCGUGGGGAGCAAACAGG
rnacentral:rRNA from 1 species